rnacentral:rRNA from 1 species
CUACGGAGGGUGCGAGCGUUAAUCGGAAUUACAGGGCGUAAAGCGUACGUAGGCGGUUGGUUAAGUUAGAUGUGAAAGCCCCGGGCUUAACCUGGGAACUGCAUUUAAAACUGGCGAACUAGAGUUGAGUAGAGGGGAGUGGAAUUUCAGGUGUAGCGGUGAAAUGCGUAGAGAUCUAAAGGAACACCAGUGGCGAAGGCGACUCCCUGGACUCGAACUGACGCUGAGGUACGAAAGCGUGGGUAGCAAACGGGAUUAGAUACCCUAGUAGUCC